CAGCAGCCGCGGGAAUACGUAGGGUGCAAGCGUUAAUUGGAAUUACUGGGCGUAAAGCGUGCGCAGGCGGUUAUAUAAGACAGAUGUGAAAUCCCCGGGCUCAACCUGGGAACUGCAUUUGUGACUGUAUAGCUAGAGUACGGCAGAGGGCGAUGGAAUUCCGCGUGUAGCAGUGAAAUGCGUAGAUAUGCGGAGGAACACCGAUGGCGAAGGCAAUCCCCUGGGCCUGUACUGACGCUCAUGCACGAAAGCGUGGGGAGCAAACAGGAUUAGAUACCCCUGUAGUCCCUGUCUCUUAUAC
rnacentral:rRNA from 1 species